AAGCGUGUAGUGUAGCGGUAGCAUACCCACUGUCUAGUGGGAGGGUGAAGGGUUCGAUUCCCUCCGCGCUUU
rnacentral:tRNA from 1 species